AGGCGGCUGCAGCUGUACGUGAUGGCAGCACUGUCCCAGAGGCCGAUGCGAAUCGCUAGGGAGCUGUCCCUGGCCGGACCGUGGUUCGGCUAUAUGGCGCCCACCUGUAACACAGGGCCUAGCGGAUAACCCCGCCCACGGCGCACGUGGCUGUCUU
rnacentral:other from 1 species